CGGGACGGGUGAGUAAUGUCUGGGAAACUGCCUGAUGGAGGGGGAUAACUACUGGAAACGGUAGCUAAUACCGCAUAACGUCGCAAGACCAAAGAGGGGGACCUUCGGGCCUCUUGCCAUCGGAUGUGCCCAGAUGGGAUUAGCUAGUAGGUGGGGUAACGGCUCACCUAGGCGCGAUCCCUAGCUGGUCUGAGAGGAUGACCAGCCACACUGGAACUGAGACACGGUCCAG
rnacentral:rRNA from 1 species